rnacentral:rRNA from 1 species
CAGUCGCCGCGGUAAUGCGAAGGGUGCAAGCGUUAAUCGGAAUUACUGGGCGUAAAGAGCUCGUAGGCGGUUUGUCGCGUCUGCCGUGAAAGUCCGGGGCUCAACCCCGGAUCUGCGGUGGGUACGGGCAGACUAGAGUGAUGUAGGGGAGACUGGAAUUCCUGGUGUAGCGGUGAAAUGCGCAGAUAUCAGGAGGAACACCGAUGGCGAAGGCAGGUCUCUGGGCAUUAACUGACGCUGAGGAGCGAAAGCAUGGGGAGCGAACAGGAUUAGAGACCCCCGUAGUCCCUGUCCUUAUACC